rnacentral:sRNA from 1 species
GCCCCAGGCUCUUUGCAUAAUCCUGUGGCUUCGCUGUCUUCACCCAGCACCAGCGGACAGGGAAGGGCAGAGAAGGCCACCAUGGCGACACUCCUCUCCCAUCCACAGCAGCGCCCUCCCCUCUUGCGCCAGGCCAUCAAGAUAAGGCGCCGCAGAGUCAGAGAUCCACAGGAUCCCCCGCCCCAAAUGGCCCCGGAGAUCCGGCCUCCGUCCCACCACUUCUCCCCCGAGCAGCGGGCCCUGCUCUACGAGGACGCACUCUACACUGUCUUGCACCGCCUGGGUCAGCCUGAGCCCAACCAUGUGACGGAGGCCUCUGAGCUGCUGCGAUACCUGCAGGAGGCCUUCCACGUGGAGCCCGAGGAGCACCAGCAGAUGCUGCAGCGAGUCAGGGAGCUUGAGAAGCCAAUAUUUUGUCUGAAGGCAACAGUGAAACAGGCCAAGGGCAUUCUGGGCAAAGAUGUCAGUGGGUUCAGCGACCCCUACUGCCUGCUGGGCAUUGAGCAGGGGGUAGGUGUGCCGGGGGGCAGCCCCGGGUCCCGGCAGCGGCAGAAGGCUGUGGUGAGGCACACCAUCCCCGAGGAGGAGACCCACCGCACGCAGGUCAUCACCCAGACACUCAACCCCGUCUGGGACGAGACCUUCAUCCUGGAGUUUGAGGACAUCACCAAUGCGAGCUUUCAUCUGGACAUGUGGGACCUGGACACUGUGGAGUCUGUCCGACAGAAGCUUGGGGAGCUCACGGAUCUGCAUGGGCUUCGCAGGAUCUUUAAAGAGGCCCGGAAGGACAAAGGCCAGGACGACUUUCUGGGGAACGUGGUUCUGAGGCUACAGGACCUGCACUGCCGAGAGGACCAGUGGUACCCCCUGGAACCCCGCACUGAGACCUACCCAGACCGCGGCCAGUGCCACCUCCAGUUCCAACUCAUCCACAAGAGGGUAGGUCGGGUCCUGGGCCAGUGGCUGUGCCCAGCUCCUGCGGUGGUCUGCUGGGUUGGGGGGCUGGCUGCACCAGGUAUGAGGCCCUGUCUGCUCACAGAGGCCUCAUUGCAGAGAGCCACCUCGGCCAGCCGCUCGCAGCCCAGCUACACGGUGCACCUCCACCUCCUGCAGCAGCUUGUGUCCCACGAGGUCACCCAGCACGAGGUACUGCCCUCCCGGGGCUGGGCGCAGCCGGGGCUGCCCUUCAGGUCCUGACACUCCUCUACCUGCUCCCCUCAGGCAGGAAGCACCUCCUGGGAUGGGUCGCUGAGUCCCCAGGCUGCCACCAUCCUCUUUCUGCAUGCCACACAGAAGGACCUGUCCGACUUCCACCAGUCCAUGGCGCAGUGGCUGGCCUACAGCCGCCUCUACCAGAGCUUGGAGUUCCCCAGCAGCUGCCUCCUGCACCCCAUCACCAGCAUCGAGUACCAGUGGAUCCAGGGUCGGCUCAAAGCAGAACAGGAGGAGGAGCUGGCCACCUCAUUCAGCUCCCUGCUGACCUACGGCCUCUCCCUCAUCCGGAGGUUCCGCUCCAUCUUCCCCCUCUCUGUCUCGGACUCCCCAGCCCGGCUGCAGUCUCUUCUCAGGGUCCUGGUACAGAUGUGCAAGAUGAAGGCCUUCGGAGAGCUGUGCCCCAACACUGCCCCAUUGCCCCAGCUGGUGACUGAGGCCCUACAGACUGGAACCACUGAAUGGUUUCACCUGAAGCAACAGCACCAUCAACCCAUGGUGCAGGGCAUCCUGGAGGCAGGCAAGGCCUUGCUGGGCCUGGUACAGGAUGUCAUUAGUGACCUGCACCAGUGCCAGCGCACAUGGGACAAGAUCUUCCACAAUACCCUCAAGAUCCACCUCUUCUCCAUGGCUUUCCGGGAGCUACAGUGGCUGGUGAGUACCUCCCCUGUCUCUAGGGCAUGCCCUGCAACAGAGCUGUGGGCCCCGCCCUCCACCCCUUUCCUUUGCAGGUGGCCAAGCGGGUGCAGGAUCACACUACGGCUGUGGGUGAUGCAGUGUCCCCAGAGAUGGGCGAGAGUCUGUUCCAGCUCUACAUCAGCCUCAAGGAGCUCUGCCAGCUGCGCCUGAGCUCCUCAGAGAGGGAUGGAGUCCUGGCCCUGGAUAAUUUCCACCGCUGGUUCCAGCCGGCCAUCCCCUCCUGGCUGCAGAAGACAUACAACGAGGCCCUGGCGCGGGUGCAGCGCGCUGUGCAGAUGGAUGAGCUGGUGCCCCUGGGUGAACUGACCAAGCACAGCACAUCAGCGGUGGAUCUAUCCACCUGCUUUGCCCAGAUCAGCCACACUGCCCGGCAGCUGGACUGGCCAGACCCAGCGGAGGCCUUCAUGAUUACUGUCAAGUUUGUGGAGGACACCUGUCGCCUGGCCCUGGUGUACUGCAGCCUUAUAAAGGCCCGGGCCCGUGAGCUCUCUUCAGGCCAGAAGGACCAAGGCCAGGCAGCCAACAUGCUGUGUGUGGUGGUGAAUGACAUGGAGCAGCUGCGGCUGGUGAUCGGCAAGUUGCCCGCCCAGCUGGCAUGGGAGGCCCUGGAGCAGCGGGUAGGGGCCGUGCUGGAGCAGGGGCAGCUGCAGAACACGCUGCAUGCCCAGCUGCAGAGCGCGCUGGCUGGGCUGGGCCAUGAGAUCCGCACUGGCGUCCGCACCCUGGCCGAGCAGUUGGAGGUGGGCAUCGCCAAGCACAUCCAGAAACUGGUGGGCGUCAGGGAGUCCGUCCUGCCUGAGGAUGCCAUUCUGCCCCUGAUGAAGUUCCUGGAGGUGGAGCUUUGCUACAUGAACACCAACUUGGUGCAGGAGAACUUCAGUAGGUCUGUAGCAGCCCCUGCCCUGGGCGCGCUCACCACCUCCCCCUCUCCUCCCACAGCCCCUCCUUCCUGGGCCCCAGCAUCCGUUCUGAGGGGUGGAGGUGAAUCCCUUUGGUGACCUCCCUUACAGGGUGCAACAGGCUCUGCUAAGGCUCGCUGCAGGGACGGGGAGCUUGCCACGUCGCAGGCCUCCCUAUUUCCUGCUGCCCAGCUCUGAGUGCUUUGAGUUCUUCCUUAGGCUGAGCCAAAAUCUACCUGUCCUUUCUCCUUUAGUCCCAGGCCUGUCUUCAGGGCCUCCCUGACUGCUCCUCUGCCCCCAUUAGGUUACAGGUGGUCCCCGCCCACGUUGCAGGGAGAACUUCUAGCUAGGGUGUCUUAUAGCAGGGACCCAGCAUGCCAGGCAACAGGCGGUGGAGUCCAGCACAUGGGCUCUGGACCACCUGGGUUCAGACUCCGGCUUCAUCACUGCUUAGCAGCCUUGGGCAAGUUCCUGGUGCAGAUGAGAAUAGUUCUGGCUUCUGCUGAGGAUUAAAUGGGUCAUGUGAGGUGCUGAGCAUGGUGUCAGUACAAAGGAAGUGGUCAGUGACUAUUAGCUGUAGUGACGAUGAUGAUGACAGCGCCCCACCUCCCUGUGGAACCUGGGCCCUGAAGAGGCCGCCAGCUCUCCUAGAGUUCUGUUCCACCCCCAGAGGCAUAGCUAGGGCCCCUCGGAGCCCGGCCGUUUUUAUUUCUUAAACCAUGUAUAUAUAUUUUUUAUUUUUUUGAGACAGAGUCUCACUCUGUCGCCCAGGCUGGAGUGCAGUGGCACGAUCUCAGCUCACUGCAACCUCCGCCUCCGGGUUCAAGUGAUUCCCUGCCUCAGCCUCCUGAGCAGCAGGGAUUACAGGCGCCCGCCACCAAGCCCAGCUAAUUUUUUUUCUGAGACGGAGUCUUGCUCUGUCGCCCAGGCUGGAGUGCAGUGGCAGAGUCUCAGCUCACUGCAAGCUCCACCUCUGGGGUUCACGCCAUUCUCCUGCCUCAGCCUCCCGAGUAGCUGGGACUACAGGUGUCUGCCACCUCGCCCGGCUAAUUUUUUGUAUUUUCAGUAGAAAUGGGGUUUCACCAUGUUAGCCAGGAUGGUCUCGAUCUCCUGACCUUGUGAUCCGCCCGCCUCGGCCUCCCAAAGUGCUGAGAUUACAGGCGUGAGCCACCGCGCCCGGCCUUGCUCCUGUCUUAAAUCAUGGUUCUGUCACAGGGGGCCUGGCCUCCUCCCUGUCUCCAGCCUUGUUUGUGGGUUCCGUUAGUCUGCUGGGGAGGGUUCUUCACUGAGUUUGAGAGGUGUAUGUUGGAUAGGACUGAUCCCACCUGCCCCUUGCUGGUCCUGUACCCACCCUCUCCCCAGCCUCACCUGGGGUGGGAGGCGGAGGGGGAGGUUGGGGGUGGGAGGAGCUGGGGUGGGGCUGGGUCCCUGAGGCCUCCCCUUUCUCAAGAGCGUCUUUGCUUCCUCCUCCGCCACCACCCUGCCGUGCUGUGUCUGCAUCCCUCCGGCCCCCGCCCCAGCCUCCUGACCCUGCUCUGGACCCACACGCUCACAGUGCUGGUGGAGGC